GUGGGGAAUAUUGCACAAUGGGGGAAACCCUGAUGCAGCAACGCCGCGUGAAUGAUGACGGCCUUCGGGUUGUAAAGUUCUUUGAUUGGGGACGAAAAUGACGGUACCCAAAAAACAAGCCACGGCUAACUACGUGCCAGCAGCCGCGGUAAUACGUAGGUGGCGAGCGUUGUCCGGAUUUACUGGGCGUAAAGGAUGCGUAGGUGGUAACUUAAGUGGGAUGUGAAAUCCCCGGGCUCAACCCGGGAACUGCAUUCCAAACUGAGUAACUAGAGUGCAGGAGAGGAAAGCGGAAUUCCUAGUGUAGCGGUGAAAUGCGUAGAUAUUAGGAGGAACACCAGUGGCGAAGGCGGCUUUCUGGACUGUAACUGACACUGAGGCAUGAAAGCGUGGGGAGCAAACAGGAUUAGAAACCCUAGUAGUCC
rnacentral:rRNA from 1 species